rnacentral:rRNA from 1 species
GACGAACGCUGGCGGCGUGCUUAACGCAUGCAAGUCGAACGGAAAGGCCCUGCUUUUGUGGGGUGCCCGAGUGGCGAACGGGUGAGUAACACGUGAGUAACCUGCCCUUGACUUUGGGAUAACUUCAGGAAACUGGGGCUAAUACCGGAUAGGAGCUCCUGCUGCAUGGUGGGGGUUGGAAAGUUUCGGCGGUUGGGGAUGGACUCGCGGCUUAUCAGCUUGUUGGUGGGGUAGUGGCUUACCAAGGCUUUGACGGGUAGCCGGCCUGAGAGGGUGACCGGGCACAUUGGGACUGAGAUACGGACCAGACGCCUACGGGAGGCAGCAGUGGGGAAUAUUGCACAAUGGGCGGAAGCCUGAUGCAGCAACGCCGCGUGCGGGAUGACGGCCUUCGGGUUGUAAACCGCUUUCGCCUGUGACGAAGCGUGAGUGACGGUAAUGGGUAAAGAAGCACCGGCUAACUACGUG